rnacentral:rRNA from 1 species
AUAGUAUACAGAUUCAGCAUUGGGACUGUAUUAAACAUUUAUGGGUAAGAGAUGGGCAUGCGUUCUAUUAGUUAGUUGGAGUGGUAACGGCACCCCAAGACAGCGAUAGAUAGGGGCCCUGAGAGGGGGAUCCCCCACACUGGUACUGAGACACGGACCAGACUCCCUACGGGAGGCAGCAGUGAGGAAUAUUGGACAAUGGGCGAGAGCCUGAUCCAGCCAUGCCGCGUGCAGGAAGACGGCCCUAUGGGUUGUAAACUGCUUUUGUACGGGAAGAAACACCCCCUCGUGAGGGGGCUUGACGGUACCGUAAGAAUAAGGAUCGGCUAACUCCGUG